GGAGCGGGGCACACACACCCCACCAGGAGAAGGACAGCUCUCCCCGUCCAGCCGAAAGCCCUCUUUGUUGCUGUCAAAUUAUGCACUCCUCAGGGAGCAGCCUUGGUUUGUGUGUUGUAUUAUUCAUCAUGCUCCGGCUGGCAAUGAGCAAUCGGAUCAGCCCAAGAGUGUCAGUGUCAGAAUGUGGGCUUUUGUUAGACACAGAAUCACAGAACUGUUUGGGUUGGAACAGGAUCUUGAAGCUCCAACCCCCUUGCCAUAGGAAGGGACAACUUCCACGAGACCAGGCUGCUCAGAACCCCAUGCCAACCAGGGUUGGGACAUCCACAGCUUCUCUGGACAACCUGUUCCAGCGUCUCACCACUAAAGAAGACAGCACUGAAUCUCCAGAGGCACACGUCUCUGUGUUAACCACACACUGUUCCUUGAACUCGGAAAUGAAAAAAAAAAACAAACCAAACCAAACAAACAAAAAAACCCUCCAAAACAAACAAACAAACAACCAAACAAACAACCAAACAGGAAUGCCCUGAAUUAAUUCCCUUCUGAGGGAAAAAAAAAAAAAAAAACCACAACCAAAAAAAAACCACCCACCCUGAUUUACCUGCGGAGCCAGGAGGGCUGGCAGAGGGAGAAGGAUCAGACUCCUCAGUGGAACUAGAGGGAGGUGGCAGGUUGCAGUCUCACCAGGGAGAACCAAACACCCCACUGGUAAUGGAUGCUGUGCCCCUGAGGCCAGCAGGUCCCCAAAGAGUUGUGUGACCACCAGACUCCCCACAGAGCUCACUGCAAGGGCAAGCAGCUGUCAGCAGCCAUUCAGGGUGAUAAAGUUCACUCAGCAUCACAAAAUGCUUCCCAGCACUGAAUUUUGGGAGAUGACCCUCCUCAGCUCUUCUACCAGCUGGGGCUGCGGUAGCAUGGAUCCCUCUGGGGGGAAGGAGGGAGAGAGUGAGGGAGGGAGUUCUCACUGGCAGCACUGACAUGGUGCCCAUCACACUGUCAUGGCCCCAAGAUCUGGAUACACUGGCCUGGCAAAGCGAAGAAUGACUGUCUACAAGGCCAUACACCUCAGAGGGCAGCACCUCCCCUGUACUAAAGGGUUAAUGCUAAUGAAAGAAAAUACAAGCAGAAAACAGCCAUAAAGUCAGAGCUUUGGUAACUCUCAGAGUAACUCAAGUAGGGUCACCCUUUCACUCAAAGUCCCAUGGAACAGAAAAGCUGAACCCCUUCAAGGUGAGGUUCACAAGUUCUCUGAAGACAUCUGUCAUCAUAGGCCACAUGCCAUAGGAGGAGGCUGGACUCCAUGACCUCAGGGUUUCUGCUCAUCUUAGACCAUACAGUGAAAAAGAAAACCAGGUUUUGACAUUGGUUCUAGUGGUCUGGCAGGCUCCCUUACACUUACCAGAGAUAGUGCUCAGUUACCAGCUUGGCAAUAGUUCCUGUUGUACCUGGCAAAAUUUCAACCAGUGACCUCACCCAGGGCACGCAGUUGUCCCACCCUUGAAGGCAAUGUGCUGAAUUUCUGAUUUUCCACAUUUCAUUUUGACAAGUUCAUAGCAGUCUAAAAUACAGAGAAUUGCAUACAAUACCAAGGCUUUCUGCUCUGCUUUUAUUAUAAGACCAUCAUUCAUCUUAAAAGCCAGUGCUAUCCUUUUAAUUCACAAGAGAUGCUUUAUGCAACUAAUUACAAAUCAGUGUGAUUAAGACAAGGAUUAGACCCUAUUGUUGGGAAGUCAAGCUGUGAUGUUUGAGAAUAAUAACGUAAUGAUUUAAGUCAAUCAAAAUUGAUCAAUGCAUUAUUAACCCAUAUGUCAUUAAAUGCUGGUUUUCAGAUGUUCUCACGUGUGAGGAAGCUGCAGAGCAUGGCUACAAAAAAUGCAACGAAAACAGCAGUAAAGCAGUGCAGGGCUCCAAGGACAGACCCCCAGCAUGUUGGCUGCUGUUUUCCUUGUCACUAAUGCAUCAGACACUGUUCAGGGAACAGAUUCAUGGACAGUGAGUGAGUGCGUUUUGCAGAGAAAGGCUGCGUAACACCUCCAGAGCAACAUUAAACAAGCACCUUAACACCUUUUUUAUAUAGUGUAGGAAACAGUUGAUACUGUCAAAAGCCACUGGUAACAGGGUUCAGAGCAUCCAGUCUCCUGCCCCUUCCAUAGCCAAAGUCCCUCUUUCCUUCCCAGUACUUAGCUACAAUCACACUGAUAAAGAAAACACAACCGCUUCCACACAGAGACCUUCCCUUUCCCUGAGAGCACUGCCAGAGCAGUCGGCUAUGUCACACAUGCACACAGCCACACCAGGGGCUGAGUGCAACCCUGCCUUGCCCUGGCGGACUCUCACAGCCACUGCUAGCCCAGGGGAGAGCAGCGGGUGCUGCUCCUGAAACAGCAGUCUCUCGCAGCUCUUACUAUUUCUUGCUUUUUGGACAGAACAAGCCCAGCACCCAGUCCCUUGCUGUAGCAGUAAUCCCAGGAACUACACCUCAUCCUACCAGCAUCACAGCAAGCCCAGUGCAGGACAGAGAUUCAGUUGAAACACUCACCUCCAGCAGCCCCCAGCAUCAACUGGAACAAAGAAACAGCCCCAGCGUCCCAGACAGCCAGCCGCGUGUAGUGUUUAUCUCAUCUCCACCAAACGGCACUGCGUGCUAGAUCUCCAGCGCAGAAAUUCUGCUCCUUCACAGCAGCUGUGUGCCCCUUUCAGCUCUCUCAGCUGUCCAUGAUGUGGCAGGAUUCGAUGGGAGGAGCAAGGACUGCCACAAUUCACGUGGACUUGCUUCACUUGCAAGAGGGAGCAGCCUUUCACCAGCACCAGAUGAGAAACACUUGAACCCACCUUAAGGGUGAUGUCCACAGCAGAUGAUGGAAUAUCAAAGAAAAGAGACAUGCUGCAGCAAUAUCUAGAAAACCUCUCCAAGGCUAUGUAAAACCAAAUGCACAGGACCCCAUGUCUGACUCUGAGUGGCUAAAACAAACAUAGCCCCACUUGGCUGCCAUGGUGAACAGCCCAGAGCACACAGUCAGCCACAUGCCUGGAGCCUUGUGCCAAGUAUUUGAGAAUGAAGAUUGCCUUGGGAGGUUCCUCUAAACACCUACUGGAUUACAAGAAUCAGGGCUGCUUCAACAACUAACUCACACUGAGCACCCUACCUGUGCGUGUCAGGGAAGACUCACCCCAAAUGCCAGGGUUUACCUAUCCUGCAUGCUUGGUGAAAUGCACGGCACUUCCAAAUCAUGUUCUAGUGACCUUGAAGGAGACAAGACAUUUCUCACAGCAGAGGAGGAGCUAAGCUGGAAGCUUACCCAGGAGUGUCGAGGCUGCCUCCACAGCACCAUUGUAGAUGUCCGCGCUGUGAGAAGGCAGCACCAUCUCCCACAGGCCCUGAGCGUAGUUGAUGACCUGAAAGUAGCCACAGGUGGACAGUGCCCACCACACAGACCAGCACAGCAUAGUCCUAGAGGAGUAGCACUGCAGGAAGUCCUGCCAGAGGUCUUUGAGCACCUUUGCGAUGUCUACUUUCUGCUUCUGCGUAGACUGGAGAAGGAAGGAGAGAAAUGUUAAGUCUUUUUUUAUGAACACUUCACACUGCUUCACAAAAUUGCCCCUUUCAGGUGGUCUGAUCACUGGUGAGUGACAACACCACUCUUGGACACAAACCCCCACAGAGUAAUGAAUAAAAAGCUUUCCCAUCCCACUGUCUGUGCCAAACAGGGCCGUACCCUUACACGCAGAGGAAGGGUUCAGUCCCAAGCACCUCCCCAUCUGUGGCUCUCCCCAGCAGACAGCAGGGACUGCCACAUGUUAUGUGAGCAACUGAAGGAUACCACAGAAGACACACCAGAGAACAGGACACAAUAUCCACUUAGACAAGACAGGAUCAGAAGCCAGUCUUUUACAUCAUAAAGACAAAAAGUGUCACUAAGACUUUUAAGUCCUGAUUGAAAUUCAACCAAAUUUUGUAGCACUAUAUCUGUCCCCAAAUAAGUUGAUUUUCUUUAGAGAAGGCAUUGGGAGUUCAUAAAUACUCAAAGAAGCUAUUGCAUUACCACACACUCUACCCCUGUUAAAGCUCACCAGCGCUUCAAGAAGGUGAGAGAUGUUACCUGGGAAUCUAAAGGGAAACUACUUCCACCAAACACUGCUAUUGCAAAUGGCAGGACCUGCACAUACAAGUGCCCUGACAUAUGGCAGGAGAUAAAAAAUGAAGCUUUCCACUCUGAAUCUUUCUAGAAAGAGCAUGCAAAGGGGCAGACCCUUAAAAAUAAUUGAAAAUAGAUAAUUUCUAGCAACAGAGGAUGACAGUAAUCAAAAUUGGUUUUUACAUACAGUUUGUUACAGUCCUGUUCUUUACCACUUUAUGUCAAUAGCAGCAGAGGAAAAGAGCAUGUCUUUACUUUGUAGACAAAAGCUCUUGGUUACAUUUGCUGCAUACACACAUGUACAGACAUAGUGUAGACUCUGUAGGGCACGACCCUUCUAGUCUGAGUAGGAAGGGUAGUUACUUAAUGUGAGACUGGGCAGAGCCCCAAGGCCCACCCAGCACCUCAGGCCCCUGUGAACUUGGAUUCCCUGCAGGAAAACACACAGCAUUGUCACAGGACUGAGCUAUUGCACAUUGUGCUGUCACAUGCCCAGUUUCAGAGUGGUUUCCAGAAAGCAGCAGCAACUGAGCACUUGACAUUAUGCCUUCUCCCUGGGGGAAUCAUGCAGUGUGUUCCUGAGCAAGACUAUUUUUCAUGAGCAAUAAAACUAAUUUCAAAAGGUUUCCACUAAAACCCCAAAAGACCACAGCUUGAAACCUGUCCUGAACUUCCUUUCUUCCACCCCUUCAAUUGCCACUGAUUUCUAAGCAUCUUUAUUAAGCACCACACAGUCCCACAGGUACCUUGCAUACCUCUUGCUCUGCACGUGGAUACCAUUCCUCCAAAACACAACAGAACAACUUGGGAAGAAGGGAGCUUGUGGCAAUGUGACUUUACACAUAAGUCCCACACAGACGAUUUUACACAAAGCACAAGUUAAGGCACAGGAAAACAAGAGAAGGGAAUGGUCACACACAAUGCAAAAACUGAUUUGACUGCUCAGCCCCAAGUGAGUGUCUGGUAAGACAGAAAGGCACACCUGCCCUGUCCUGGCAGUGCCUCUUCAGUACAGUUAUUCCUACAGCCAUCCAUGUUUGCGAAAUAUGCUAUUAGCUCAGCAAGAACGACAAUCAUCACACUCCAGUGCUUCUCAGACUUUAGCACCUGGUGUAAGUGACCUCAGGGGAGUUAGGCAGGUGUACUCCCUCCUUUUCUAAACUUUUCUCCACUACUUUGGUACUACAUGUACUCUCACAGGAGAGGAGCAAGGUAAACAAAAGGGAUGGAUAAGUUAUAUGUUUACGGCACAGAAUUCGUCUUAACAAAUACCCUUCAACAUGCAAGCAUAGCUUGGGUAAAAAUAUCCUUGGUCACACAAGAUUGUGCUGGAGGGGGCAGGAUUAAGUCUCUGGAAUGUUAAUACACUUAAUUCCCAGCUAUAGCUGGAGAAGCAGAAAGCAGCCAUGGAUGCUGCCUCCCCCAAGCCAGCUAACUGUGGCUUACUUUCUAAGAAAUACCCACUGCUGACUAACCCAGCAGCUGCACUUACCUUCUGGCUUGUCCUCAGGAGCACGGCCUCCUUCUGUCUGAGGAGCAAGGCUGGCCUCUCCCCAGGGCCUCAAAUCCCCCUGCCAGGAAUCUCCAUAUAUUUGCAUUUCCUGGAGCAGUGUGGCCAGCAGGGACCUGCCCAGCAGACAACUACACACUCAGACUGGACCCCAAAACUGGAGGCUGUUCACCCAUGGUGGGUCUCAGCGUGUCCCUCCACCAAGCAAGGAAGGGUCCCUGCACUUGUUUCCAUACAAAUGGCUUUGCCAAGUUACACAGCCCACAAAAGCCACAAGUCAGGGGACUACCUUGGCAUUCUCAGGGGUUGCAUUAAGCUGAUAUCAUGUAGAUGUGCUUCCUGCAAUUUCUCCACAUUCUGUCCUUCUAUUACUAAUCAAUGUCUGCUUCCAAGUGCCCCCAAGAACUACUGCAGUUUCCUUCCCAGAGCAGCUUCCUUCCAGGAUCAUACGAUAAACCCCAAUUAUUACACAGCAUAUUGCAGCACAACUCACGCAACAGUUGGAGUAACAAUGCCAAAAUCUGAGUACAAGAAGAAUCGCCUCUUCUCUGCAAAUCACUGGGUGCAUCCAGAAGCACACACAGAGUUUGGACAUAUGCUCAAUGUUUAGUGUCCCAGAGAUGUCCCCUGCAUUGUAUCACGGGAUGGCAAUUUGAUGCCCAGAGCAUUCAGACUGCAGCCUUGGUGAGACAUGAAGAGCAAUUUCACAAAAACUAAGGAGCAGCCUACCAUGCUCAAACAGCAAACGGAUACCAGUAAUAAUUCUCCCUGUGCCACAAAUAAGAGGGAUAUGUAAAGGGAAGCUUUCCUGCUGUUAGAUAUUACACCUCUACUGCUAGGUAUGUAUAUGUACCGCAUGUAUGACAACCACACCAUACUAUGGCAUCUUCUACUCAUGUAAACUCAGGGCACAACUCACCUGUUUCUCUGCUGAAUGACCCUCCCCAUUUAAGGGAACUUUUGUCUCAUCCUCCCAGCCAGGUGCCCUCUGCACAUCGGGAUGAUCUUGGACAGCUGCUCCAUUUUUACAGUCCAUGACCUUCAUUUCACAACUAAGCCGCUGACUUGAGAGGUGGUGAAAGAAAAGGCUUUUUUGUGGCAUGGGCAGGAACCACGCCGUGGCAAAGGCAAUGGAUAUGCUGGUUAAGGAAACAACGUUCAAGCUGAAGAGGGACCAUCCCGCCACUGACACAAGGACCUGCCCAGACACCGAGCCCACUGUGUAGCCCACCAGGGUGGCACUUCGGCAGUAGCUGGUGACCUGCUGGUACAGGUUGAUAUCGACGACACUGUAGAUGUAGGAAUAAUAGGCGAUGUCGGUGGCAGUCCC